CCCGCUGAACUUAAGCAUAUCAAUAAGCGGAGGAAAAGAAACUAACAAGGAUUCCCCUAGUAACUGCGAGUGAAGCGGGAAGAGCUCAAAUUUAAAAUCUGGCGGUCCGUGCGGCCGUCCGAGUUGUAAUCUGGAGAAGCGUUUUCCGCGUCGGACCGUGUACAAGUCUUCUGGAACGGAGCGUCGUAGAGGGUGAGAAUCCCGUCUCUGACACGGACCGCCGAUGCUUUAUGUGAUACGCUCUCGAAGAGUCGAGUUGUUUGGGAAUGCAGCUCAAAAUGGGUGGUAAAUUCCAUCUAAAGCUAAAUACUGGCGAGAGACCGAUAGCGAACAAGUACCGUGAGGGAAAGAUGAAAAGCACUUUGGAAAGAGAGUUAAACAGUACGUGAAAUUGUUGAAAGGGAAACGUUUGAAGUCAGUCGCGUCGGCCGGGACUCAACCUUGCUUGUUUGCUCGGUGCACUUCUCGGUCGACGGGUCAGCAUCAAUUUCGAGCGUCGGAUAAAGGCCGGGGGAACGUGGCAUCCUUCGGGGUGUGUUAUAGCCCUCGGUUCGCAUACGGCGGUCGGGAUUGAGGAACUCAGCACGCCUUCAUCGGUCGGGGCGCCCCCGGGCGCCCACGUUAACGUGCUUAGGAUGUUGGCAUAAUGGCUUUAAGCGACCCGUCUUGAAACACGG
rnacentral:rRNA from 1 species